GGCAUCUUGGCGGAAUGGCAGACGCGCUGGUUUCAAAAACCAGUCUGAGUGAUCAGGUGAGGGUUCGAGUCCCUCAGGUGCUACCA
rnacentral:tRNA from 1 species